GUGUCAGCCGCCGCGGUAAGACGAAGGGGGCUAGCGUUGUUCGGAAUUACUGGGCGUAAAGCGAGUGUAGGUGGUUGUCGUAGUCAGGCGUGAAAGCCUUGAGCUCAACUCAAGAAAUGCGCUUGAUACUGGGCAGCUAGAGGACCGGAGAGGAUAGUGGAAUUCCCAGUGUAGUGGUGAAAUACGUAGAGAUUGGGAAGAACACCAGUGGCGAAGGCGGCUAUCUGGACGGUUUCUGACACUAAGACUCGAAAGCGUGGGGAGCAAACAGGAUUAGAAACCCGUGUAGUCC
rnacentral:rRNA from 1 species